rnacentral:lncRNA from 1 species
GACGAAGAAGCUGUACUAUUCCCAAACUGGGAAACUGGAAUCACCUGAUUUGAAAGUGGGAUAACUUCUUCUUGCCAACUCCUAUGAGAUUUAUUCAACUUCCUGGUGAUUGUCCACCACUUUAUGUAUCCAAUUAAAGCUUCUCACAAAGUGAUUCAUCCUGGUUUGAUUGGAACGACGAAGAUGCUUUCCUAUUCCCAAACUGGGAAACUGGAAUCACCUGAUUAGAAAGUGCGAUAACUUCUUCAUCCCAACUCCUAUGAGAUUUAUUCAACUUCCUGGUGAUUCUCCACCACUUUAUGUAUCCAAAUC